rfam:Candidatus Marinimicrobia bacterium TMED46 93809, whole genome shotgun sequence.
CCGUGCUAGAUGGGGAAUUAGCGGUGCCCUGUAACCUGCAAUCCGCUAUAGCAGGAUCGAUGCUAGUAUUAGGCUUCUGCCGACCUGUUCGGAAGAAUUAAGCGACGUUGAAGUUCUGGACUGUUGCAAAGGAUGAAUGAUGAACCCCGUCAGGCCCGGAAGGGAGCAGCGGUAAGUCUAUUUAUUUUUGUGCUGGCAGCUACCGGAAUUGAGUUGGCUAGUUCUGCACGAACUGGUAGUGGGGUAGCCAAACACUAGUGCGCGG